CUGUACGUUGGCAAAAACAUUUCAUCAAAAAAAAAAUAUUCAAAGAAUCUGAACUGAAAAAUCACCUCCAAAUCGCGGUGGGAGGGAAAGGCGAAAGGCGGAUAAUUUAUUCUAUUCUUUAUAGUUGCAAUGUUACAAUAGUGAUUCAAUAAAUUUGACGCCAACCUAAACCCCGGUCAUGUAAUAUCCCGAUUUAACUUAAAAAUAUUGUAGGGUUAGCUUUCUAGAGUUUUAUUUUGUUCAUACAAAAACCGGAAGUAUGGGAGUCAUAAUAAGUAGAUUUAGGAAAAAACCGAGUACAAUUGAUGUACUAACGAAACUUGAAGAUGAAAUCACUUCCAUCGAAGAGUUCCAGCAAAGAACCAAACAGACUCAACGCAAGAUAGUUUUUAGGUUUCUCAUCUUAGCAAUAAUUAUUUAUGCAGCACUGGCCUUUCUUUUAUAUUUGUAUUUUUCACAAAUAUCACCAAAUCAAUGGUUUUUGUGCAGUAUACCACUAAUCGCUUUUCCUCUUGUCAUAUGGUUCAUUAAGAAGUUCUUAACGUGGUACUACAACAGGAAAAUAAAAAAAAAUGAAAACAAACUAGUGUCGCUGAAAGAAAAAAAGAAAAAAAUUCUAGAAAAUGUUAUGGAAAAUGAAACUUAUAAGGUUGCAAAGCAGAUAUUGGACAAAUUUGCAAAUGAACCAAAAAAACCUUUGGUUUUACCCACACCAGUGGUUCAAAGGGGUACUCCGAUGCCCACAACUGCACCAGAUACAGCUCUGAGACAAAGGUAUGCAGCAACUCAAAACCUUUUAAGGGGUCGAGCGUCUUUUGGGGGUGCUGCAGAGACUCCCGUACCUCCACAAAGACAAUUAGCCCUACAACAAUCUAGUAAUGUGUUGCAACAGACUCCAAUAAGAAUUCAACCUGUGAGAAGUCCGCCGUCAAUUGUCACCCCAAUCCUACCUAGAGGUAUCUUACCCAAAAACCGGUCAAUUUUGGAUAAGAUGGUCGAUUUUCUUGUCGGAGACGGACCGUCCAAUAGAUAUGCGUUGAUUUGUCACAGUUGUAGUGGUCAUAACGGUAUGGCACUAAAAGAAGAAUUUGAAUAUUUCUCUUUCCGGUGUGUUUAUUGCAAUACUUUUAAUCCGGCCAGGAAAAAAAGGCCAGAGGGUCCUAAAUUCGACAGCCCACUUAUGUUGACACCCGCAAGACAACCAGAUGAAUCUCAGUCUGAGGAUGAAUCAAGUUCAUCUGAUUCUGAGCCAAUCGUAGAGGAGCCUCCGAGUGACUCUCCUGAGCCGCCCAUGCGAUCAGAUUCCGAAAGCGAAUCAAAAAUGGAGGUGGAAGAAUCGGAACCCGCGAAAACUGCCAAAGUCACGGAGAGCGGCGAUGCCGCCCACCCAAUAAAUCAAGACUGAUUUUAAUUUAUUUAAUUUAUUAUUCGGGUUCAGAUUGUUUUGUUUUUUAAUGUUUUUUUUUACGUUUUCGA
rnacentral:misc_RNA from 1 species